AUGCUCCUACGGGGGGCAGCAGUGAGGAAUAUUGGUCAAUGGGCGGGAGCCUGAACCAGCCAUGCCGCGUGAAGGCGAGUGCCCUACGGGCGUUAAACUUCUUUUGUGCGGGAGCAAUAAGGGCCACGUGUGGCCCGAUGAGAGUACCGCACGAAUAAGCAUCGGCUAACUCCGUGCCAGCAGCCGCGGUAAUACGGGGGAUGCGAGCGUUAUCCGGAUUUAUUGGGUUUAAAGGGCGCGUAGACGGCAUGGCAAGUCAGAUGUGAAAGCCCGGGGCUCAACCCCGGGACUGCAUUUGAAACUGU
rnacentral:rRNA from 1 species